UAAGGUGAUUAUUGCGAUAGGGCUCACCUCUUCCCAUUCCGAACAGAGAAGUUAAGCCUAUCAGCGCAGAUGGUACUGCCGUUUUGGUGGGAGAGUAUGUCAUCGCCUUUC
rnacentral:rRNA from 4 species